rnacentral:lncRNA from 1 species
CUGGAUCCUUGACUGUAGCCCAGAAGUAUGCUUUUUCUGACUUUCCUAGGUGGCUUUCAGCUAGAGGAUGAAGGUCCUUCCCUGACGGUCAUUAUCGAAGGAUUUCCAUUUGGGUUGAAACACUGGACUGAGUGAUCAUUGAAGCAUUUUCCUCUUGAAAUUCUGAUUUCACCUUUUCCUUUCGUUUUUUCCUUCACUUGGAGAGGGUUAGCAGCAGUGUCAGUUAGUGUAACUGA